UUGGAGGCACUGCCUGCCCAGUGACUAAACGUUAAACGGCCGCGGUAUUCUGACCGUGCAAAGGUAGCAUAAUCAUUUGUUCUCUAAAUAAGGACUUGUAUGAACGGCCACACGAGGGUUUUACUGUCUCUUACUUCCAAUCAGUGAAAUUGACCUCCCCGUGAAGAGGCGGGAAUGAAUUAACAAGACGAGAAGACCCUAUGGAGCUUUAACUAACUAGUCCAAAAGAAAUAAAUUUAACCACCAAGGGAUAACAACAUCCUUUAUGGACUAGCAGUUUUGGUUGGGGUGACCUCGGAGAACAAGAGAUCCUCCGAGCGAUUUUAAAGACUAGACUUACAAGUCAAAUCAAAUUAUCGCUUAUUGAUCCAAAAAACUUGAUCAACGGAACAAGUUACCCUAGGGAUAACAGCGCAAUCCUAUUCAAGAGUCCAUAUCGACAAUAGGGUUUACGACCUCGAUGUUGGAUCAGGACAUCCUGAUGGUGCAACCGCUAUCAAA
rnacentral:rRNA from 1 species